GGCCGGCUAGCGUAAUGGUUAACGCGCUAGUUUCCGGAGCUAGAGAUUCUGGGUUCGAGUCCCAGGUUGGUCG
rnacentral:tRNA from 1 species